rnacentral:rRNA from 1 species
UACGAAGGGGGCUAGCGUGCUCGGAAUCACUGGGCGUAAAGCGCACGUAGGCGGACUCUUAAGUCAGGGGUGAAAUCCUGGAGCUCAACUCCAGAACUGCCUUUGAUACUGGGAGUCUUGAGUUCGGGAGAGGUGAGUGGAACUGCGAGUGUAGAGGUGAAAUGCGUAGAUAUCAGGAGGAACACCUGCGGUGUAGACGGCUUACUGGACCAUAACUGACGCUGAGGCACGAAAGCGUGGGUAGCAAACAGG